rnacentral:rRNA from 1 species
ACACGGAGGGUGCGAGCGUUGUUCGGAAUCACUGGGCGUAAAGCGGGUGUAGGCGGUCUAGCAAGACAGAUGUGAAGGUCCAGGGCUCAACCCUGGAAGUGCAUCUGAAACUGUUAGACUUGAGUACUGGAGAGGGAGGUGGAAUUCCUGGUGUAGGGGUGAAAUCCGUAGAUAUCAGGAGGAACACCGGUGGCGAAGGCGACUUCCUGGACAGAUACUGACGCUCAGACCCGAAAGCGUGGGGAGCAAACAGGAUUAGAUACCCGGGUAGUCC